rnacentral:rRNA from 1 species
AGCGAACGCUGGCGGCAGGCUUAACACAUGCAAGUCGAGCGCCCCGCAAGGGGAGCGGCAGACGGGUGAGUAACGCGUGGGAACGUACCCUUUGCUACGGAAUAGCUCCGGGAAACUGGAAUUAAUACCGUAUGUGCCCUACGGGGGAAAGAUUUAUCGGCAAAGGAUCGGCCCGCGUUGGAUUAGCUAGUUGGUGGGGUAAUGGCCUACCAAGGCGACGAUCCAUAGCUGGUCUGAGAGGAUGAUCAGCCACAUUGGGACUGAGACACGGCCCAAACUCCUACGGGAGGCAGCAGUGGGGAAUAUUGGACAAUGGGCGCAAGCCUGAUCCAGCCAUGCCGCGUGAGUGACGAAGGCCUUAGGGCUGUAAAGCUCUUUCACCGGAGAAGAUAAUGACGGUAUCCGGAGAAGAAGCCCCGGCUAACUUCGUGCCAGCCGCCGCCGUAAGAC